UAAGAGACUUCGGAUUCUGAACAUGUAACACAAUUGAACAUAAGUAUUCUAUGAACUACUAUAUGUGUGACAAUUCUUUGGAUUUAGUUAUGGAACAACAGUUUCAUUGUAAAUUCUAUUUUUUUAGCAUAGUUAUUUAAUCUUGAUCAUAAAAUAACGUGCUAGUUCUGGCAUUAUACAACUAUUCUCAUAUUACUACUAAUUUCAAAAGAAAAAUUAUAGAAAUUAACUUGUUUAGUUUUCCUCCAUGGUAGUGUUACUGUGCAAGCUUGUCCCCUCCAAUGCCAAUGUUACUACCUCCUAUUUAUUAGCAUAAUUUCAUUGGAAGAGACUGCAUUGUAGGCAGCAUGAUGAUAGUGUAUGAAUACACAUGUUAUGAAUAGUGACAACCCAUCUGAGGAGUUUGAGAUGCUGAAAAUCCACUAACUUAAAAAUCUACUAUUAGAAAAAUAAUAUUAUAGAUUAAAUACUUAUAUUUUAGUUCAAUUCGUUUGAUUUUUCGAAUAAACCAAGCCAACCAUUAAGUUUAGACUCAUUUUGAAGGCUCUACUUGCAACUAUGCAUUUUCACCUUUUUUUUUCACCUUUUUUUUUUCGUUAGGAAAAUAUUAACGAUUCAUUCUGUGAUUAAAGAUUGUAUUCAUUAGAAUAGUGAUAAUACUACAAUAUUUUCUUCUUUUUACCCUUAUUAUUCAUUAUUUGCAACUCUACAUAAAAAUUCAGUGUCUUUUAUAAUUCUAUUUGGUAGAUCUCUUUUUUUGUCCUAAAUGGUUAAUUAUCAAAUUUAGUGUCCAUUUUUUUUAAAUAAAUAAAAGACCCCUUAGAUGGCGUGUUGCCUUUUUUUGUUGUGUUGUCUUUUGUGUGAAUAAAUAUUGACAGAAUUAAAUAUUUACUUUAAAUACAAUCUUUAAGCAAUGAAUUGUUAAUAUUUUUAUAACGAAAAAAAUAUUUGGUGAAAAUGCGUAGUUGCAAGUAGAGCCUUCAAAACGAGUCUAAACUCAAUGGUUGGCUUAGUUUACUCGAAAAAUGAAACGAAUUGAACUAAAAUAUAAGUAUCUAAUCUAUAAUACUAUUUUAUUUAAUAGUAGAUUUUUAAGUCAGUCAGCAUGUCAAGAGGGUGCCACUAUUCAUGACAUGCUUAUUCAUACACUAUCAUCAUGCUAUCUACAAUACGGUCUCUUCCAAUGAUAAUAUCAUUGGAGGUAGUAACGUUGGCAUUGGAGGAGACGAGCUUUGCUGGAGACCACCACAGUAACAUUACCAUGGAGGAAAACUAAACAAGUUCAUUUCUAUAAUUUUUCUUUUGAAAUUAGUUAUAAUAUGGGAACAGUAGUAUAAUGCCACAACCAGCACGUUAUUUUAUGAUCCAGAUUAAAUAACUGUGUUGGAAAAAAUAGAAUUUACAAUAAAACUGUUGUUCCAAAACUGAAUCCAAAGAAUUGUCACACACAUAGUAGUUCAUAGAAUACUUAUGUUCAAUUAUAUUACAUGUUCAAAAUCCGAAAUCUUUUAUCACUACUUUUCUUUGUGGGAAGAGUGAACUAUAUUCAAAUUAAGAUAUGAAAGAACUAUAUACAAAAGUUUAAUUUACUCUCAAAU